rnacentral:tRNA from 1 species
GUCUCGAUAGCUAAGUGGUAUAGCAUGCGAUUGCAGUGAAAAAUUCUCUUAUCGCAGGGUCCGGUGUUCGAACCACCGUCGGGACU